rnacentral:rRNA from 1 species
UACAGGGGGUGCAAACGUUGCUCGGAAUUACUGGGCGUAAAGCGUGCGCAGGCGGUGAUGUAAGACAGAUGUGAAAUCCCCGGGCUCAACCCGGGAACUGCGUCCGAUACUGGAAGGCUUGAAUCCGGGAGAGGGAUGUGGAAUUCCAGGUGUAGCGGUGAAAUGCGUUGAUAUCUACAGGAACUCCGGUGGCGAAGGCGGCGUGCUGGAUCUCUUCUGACGCUGAGGCGCGAAAGCUAGGGGAGCAAACGGG